UUAAAUUGGAAUGUCUCGACAGGUAACGAUAAAGUCUCGGUCGUAACACAACUUCCCGAUAGGAUGGUGGAGGAGUGCCUGGACAAGAUGAUGCCAGGCUUGUGGUACUCUCUACAUUAUCUUACAAACAAAUGUAAGAAACCACCAUACCACACGCGGUACCAAAUAUGAAACCGAGAAGAAGAAACCAAAACAAAUCGAUAUUGUUUAUUUGGCACGACGUUUGCUUGUAGAAGAAUCAUCUUCUCAAAUUUCUUUGGGACCAAGGAUUUCUGGAAAAGAAAAAGCAUGUUUGGAUUUUGGUUAUGUAUCGACGAUCUCUUGUGUAUCUGCAUAUGGUAAAAUGCUUGAAUAGCAAGUUUACACUAUCUUUCUAUAAAUUUUACCGUUGAUCUUAGAUUGAACGAUAUUAACGAUAAAUUAGUUAUGAAAAUUGAAAUUUGGUUUUCACUUGA